UCUCUCUCUCGUCAGCUAUUCGUUAAUUACAAUUCAACCCCUCCAAAACCCCUGAAUCCGAAAACUCACCACCCAAAUCGUCUCCGAUUCCCUCAACCCCUCAUCUCCGUUCACCUCUCCGGCUUCACUCGCCUCUUUAAUUCCUGAAAUUCCUGAGGGCCUUGUAUCCGCGUCGUCUUUGUCCGAGCUCAAACGAAACCUAGGGUUUCCGGAAGCAAAACUGUCCAGUGAGAGCUAGUUGGGAGGUUUGGACUGUUUGAUGGAGGCUGCGGCCGCCGCGCGCGGUGGUUCGAUGCCGGCGAUGACGCAAGCAGCUCAGUCGCGCAAGCAGUGGCGCGCCGUGUCGGAGCAUCGCGAUGAGGAUCUGGAACGAUCAAAGUUAGGCCACUCUCAUGAGAGAACAAUAUAUGAGGGAAGAGAGCCAGUUGAUGUAGAUUUUUGUUCGAUCUCCAUUGAUGGAACUUUGGACCAUGACCUCUUGCAGCAGCGGCUUCAUGAUAUUGCCAGACAAAGAGAGGAACUUCAGCAUAUGGAGACUGAGCUUAGAGCUCAAAUGAUUGCAAGGUCUGAGAUAAUGGAGAUACAAAAUAACUUCGAUGUUCAACUAAAGGAGCAUGCUAAUGCUGCUUCCAAGCUUCAGGAGCAAUUCCAUGAAAAGGAGCAGGCCAUACUUGAUUUGGAGAGAAAAUUAGAAGAAAAAGAUAGAGAACUACAUGCUACCAAGUUAGAUAAUGAAGCGGCCUGGGCUAAAGAGGGUCUUCUUAGAGAACAGAAUAAAGAGUUAGCAAAUUUCAGAAGAGAGCGUGACCAUACUGAAGCUGAAAGGGCCCAGCAUAUACAGCAGUUACAUGAUCUUCAAGAUCAUAUUCAGGAAAAAGAGAGGCAACUUAUUGAGUUGCAGGAACAGCAUAGGCUUGCUGAAGAAGCCAUUCUAUAUAAGGAUGAACAACUGAACGAAGCCCAAGCUUGGAUCGCUCGUGUUCAAGAAAUGGAUGGUUUGCAGUCAUCUACACUCCAAAAUCAGUUGCGGGAACAUACAGAACACUAUAACCAGUUCUGGCUUGGUUGUCAAAGACAGUUCGCAGAAAUGGAGAGACAUCAUAUGCAUACCGUCCAACAGCUUCAACUUGAAUUAGCUGAUGCCAGACAAAGAAGUGGAACUUACACUGAUGAAUCACGUGUGGCAAAUUCAACAUCAAAGGAGGCAUCUCAGUUUGGUCGCAACAAUGGAAACCAGAUUGGUAUGAAUACAUCGAAUGGAAAUACAGGGGCACUCCCAAAUGGAAAUCCAGAAGACGUUUCAUCAUUUUCUUCAACUGUCAAUGCAUCAAGUCAGGUUGACCAUGCUUCUAGUGUUCCAAUUGGUCCUUCAUCACUACUUGGGAUGCCUCCCUUUCUUUCACCUGGACAGGUGACUGGUAUGCAUCCAUUUGUUCUGCAUCAACCUGGGGUUCCCCAUUCCAUGCCACCACAGGUACCUCAAUCACAUGUGGGGAAUUUUCAAUCAAUACCUGCAAUGUCAUCUCUCCAACAGUGGCAGAACCAACAGGCUCCGCCUGAGAGUUUGCAGAUAGCUACACAAACUGAACCUCCAUCUUCCCAUAAUGAACAAAACCUGAUGAGAUCAGAUGCAAAGUAUAACUAUGAAACUUCUGUUAAUGGGCAACCAUUUCAUCAAGACUAUCUGGAUGUUCAAAUUCGCCAAGGGGCAGAGCCUGAACCUGUAAUAUCAUCUUCUCCCGUGGAAGUACAGGUUCUUGAGUCAAUUAACAGCAGUUACUUGAUCUCACCCGAAACUGAUCAGAGCCUGCCACAAAUUUCUUCCCAAUUUACUGAUUCUUUAACAUUGGAUUCUCUUGAGAAGACCAGUGAAACCGAUGCACAUGAGCAGAAUGUUCAGACCUUGACUGAUCAUGGCUUGGACGAACAGGUUUUAACGGCAGAGAAACCAAAUUCCCCUAUCAAUUCUUCAAGGCCUGACACUGCGGUCCAUGUCAGUCUCAAUGAAAAUGCAAGGAAUAAUACUCCUAAUACAGGUUUGCCCGAAUCCUUUGCCUCAACGGGGCACAUUAGUGCACCAUCAGUGGGAAGGACUUCAGAGGCUGCUCUCCUAGAUGAAAGGUCAUUGUUGGCUUGCAUGGUUCGGACAAUACCAGCUGGUGGUAGAAUUCGAAUCAGUUCAACGCUGCCAAAUAGGCUUGGAAGGAUGCUUGCACCUUUACACUGGCAUGAUUACAAGAAAAAGUAUGGAAAGCUAAAUGACUUCGUUGCUGCUCAUACUGAACUAUUUGUGAUUGAGGGGGACUAUAUUCAGCUGCGUGAAGGAGCUCAAGAGAUGAUAGCAGCUACAGCUGCUGCUGCCAGAGUUGCUGCUGCUAGAGCAGCAUCAUCCCCCUUCAUUUUGCCUUCUGUGGCUGUCACUCCAGUGGCACAGACGUACUUCUUAAAGAAGAUGUUGUCUAUCGAUUCCAAAAAUGAGGUUGCUGCUACUCCAAAUGCAAGUAAUACUCACUUGCAGUCUGUGAAGCAGAAUCAGCAAUUAAAUGGUGUAUCUUUUGGGGUUUCGGGAGGUCUCUCGAACGUAAAGAUUUUGAGCAAAUUUAAGGAAUUGAACGGUUCUGAAUCUACUCCCGGCCAGUCAUCUGUACCUCUGAAUGGUGGAAAUGGAGCUCUGGAUAGAUCGAUGGCCAAUGGUCGGCUUAGCUCAAGUUUUGUUGGGAAACAGCAUGGCAGGAUGACCAAUUCUGCAUUUACCUCCAACAGAAGAUAGUAAGUAAAGGCACUUAAAGUUGUACUCUGAGAUGUAAUCCUUUAUUCCAUUGAUUGCUACUUCGAUUUCAUCUCACGAGUAUUUUGGUGUUGGCAGGACUUCAGGAGUGCGAAUUAGUCGCUCAUUUUUGAAAAACUAUACUGGGUGUGGGGACAUUAUGUUGUCGACACUUUUGAAUCUGUGUUAUCAAUAUUUGCAUUGCAUUGAGUUCUCAGAUUGUGGAUUUAUUUGCUUCUCAUAUUCUUUUGGUGAAAAAGC